rfam:Arthrobacter gangotriensis Lz1y contig000013, whole genome shotgun sequence.
CCACCAUCCCGAGCGGCCGAGAGAUCUGGCUCACCGACGCCGCAGCAACCUUCCACACUCCGGUGGACAAGGUGCUACCGCCAGAAACGAUGGAGA